GAUGAAGAACGUAGCAAAAUGCGAUACUUGGUGUGAAUUGCAGAAUCCCGUGAACCAUCGAGUUUUUGAACGCAAGUUGCGCCCGAAGCCUUUUGGCCGAGGGCACGUCUGCCUGGGCGUCACGCAUCGCGUCGCCCCCCACAAUUCUCCGUAAAGGGAACAUGUGUUUUGGGGGCGGAUAUUGGUCUCCCGUGCUCAUGGCGUGGUUGGCCGAAAUAGGAGUCCUUUCGAUGGACGCACGAACUAGUGGUGGUCGUAAAAACCCUCGUCUUUUGUUUCGUGCUGUUGCUCGCAAGGUAAACUCUUUAAAAACCCCAAUGUGUCGUCUCUUGACGACGCUUCGACCGCGACCCCAGGUCAGGCGGGACUACCCGCUGAGUUUAAGCAUAUAAAUAAGCGGAGGA
rnacentral:misc_RNA from 1 species